rnacentral:rRNA from 1 species
CCUACGGGUGGCAGCAGUGAGGAAUAUUGGUCAAUGGCCGGAAGGCUGAACCAGCCAUGCCGCGUGAAGGUCAGUGCCCUAUGGGCGUUAAACUUCUUUUGUGCGGGAGCAAUAAUGGUCACGUGUGGCCAGACGAGAGUACCGUACGAAUAAGCAUCGGCUAACUCCGUGCCAGCAGCCGCGGUAAUACGGGGGAUGCAAGCGUUAUCCGGAUUUAUUGGGUUUAAAGGGUGCGUAGGCUGGUAGGUAAGUCAGCGGUGAAAUGCACCCGCUCAACGGGGUGAAGUGCCAUUGCUACUGCCUGGCUGGAAUGCGGAUGCCGUGGGAGGAAUGUGUGGUGUAGCGGUGAAAUGCAUAGAUAUCACACAGAACACCGAUUGCGAAGGCAUCUCACGAAUCCGCGAUUGACGCUGAUGCACGAAAGCGUGGGUAUCAAACAGGAUUAGAUACCCUUGUAGUC